UUUAAUGAUCGAACAGAUCAAAAUUUUAAACUUUUGCAUUUAAAUUUUAUCUUAAUCCAACAUCGAGGUCGCAAACUUUUUUUUUUAUUUGAACUAAAAAAAAAUAUUACGCUGUUAUCCCUAAGGUAAUUUUUUCUUAUAAUCAUUAUCAAUGGAUCAUUUAAUCAUUUAUUUAUGUUUACUAUUCAAAAAAAGUUAUCUUAAUUUUUCUGUCACCCCAACAUAAUAUUUAAUUUAAUUUUAAUGUUAAUUUUUAUAUAAAUUUAAAAUAAAAUUAAAUAUAAAACUCUAUAGGGUCUUCUCGUCUUUUAAAAUUAUUUUAGCUUUUUUACUAAAAAAUAAAGUUCUAAAAAAAAAUAAGAGACAGUUAAUAUUUCAUCAAAUCUUUCAUACAAGUUUUCAAUUAAAAAACUAAUGAUUAUGCUACCUUUGUACAGUCAUAAUACUGCAGCCCUUUAAUAUUAAUCAGUGGGCAGAUUAGACUUUAAAUUAUAAUUC
rnacentral:rRNA from 1 species